rnacentral:tRNA from 1 species
GAUUCGCUAGCUCAGCUGGUAGAGCACAGCACUUUUAAUGCUGGGGUCCUGGGUUCGAGCCCCAGGCGAAUCA